CGUGGCAUCCUCUCAAGCUCCUCAUUGUACUGCUGGAUUGUAUCCAAGAAUAAGGUGGGCUUGCAGGUGUUGUAAAAAUCUAGUGCUUCUCUAGAAUAAGGAGUCGUGCUGUUCAAUGCAGGAAUGAAGCAUAAAAUUUAUUCACGAGCGGGGAGGAGUAAUUUCGGCACCAGAUUUUGUGGGGAAACAAAACGGACGUUGUCCUUUAUAUAUAUGCUUCCCUGUGGUCCAAGAGAUCACGUGCAAUUAGAGCGCGAGUAUGUCCAGUUUGGCAGCUAAUCCAAAAAUCCAUAUGCAUUAUGGAGAUACCAAGGUGAUGUGCAAACUCAUAGUUUUCAUAUUGGUUGUUUUCACAUCGUGGGACCUACUCGUCAAUAGGGCAUCUUUUUCCCCCAAGCUCUCAAUUGACUGCUAAAGUGAUUUUUUCAGACAAAAUCGUCAUAUCGAAGGUUAUUAUGCAGAUCGGCCCAAUAUGAGGACUCGGCUAGAGUUGCUCUUACUAAAGUACGGAAUUACUAACGCUCACAGGCAUCUCGCUGAAGCAAAAUAUUUUUUGCUCUGUUUACAGCUCUAAGAAACAACGAGGGAAACAAGUAAAAAAUAGUCAUCUCAGGCAAACCUAACAGCUCACUUGCUUUGCAGAAUUUAGUCAGUUUAGCCAGAUGGCUAUGAAUGUGCUUUACCCGGCAUCCUCGGCGGGUUUGCCCCCGUGUUGAAUGAUAGACAUAGUUGUCCCUACGUUUAAUCUAUAGAGGUGCCAUGCCAGAUCCCUGCUCUUUUGUUUUUAACCUCUGGAAGAUUGAUGCGUCUCUGCCAUGCCAUUGCUGUGCACGCAGUGCAGUUAUGCGUAUGUGCCCACUUUUCGAUCGGUUGCCAAAACCAAAGGCAGACAUGUGAUCGAUCAUUGACGGGACGAGCUAGCAUCUAGCCGAGGCGGAGGCUAGUCCGUUCCUGAAGCAUACGUACACCGUGCUCGUGGUCGUGGGAUCGUGGCAACGGUUUUGAGCUGUGUACGUGAAGGUUAAGCUGUGGGAACGAAGCCCAUCGAAUCAACGUGUGGCCAUGAACAGCCGCGCGACACAGGGCAAGAGGGCGCGGUAGAAGACGAGCGCGCACAUGCCCGGGUCACAUGGGGGCAACGGUCACGGGCGGAACGGAAGGGCCGCGCGUUUGUCCGCGCAUCGGCCGGGCCGCAACCGAUUCUCUUCUCCCGUGCUCCUUCGUUGUCCAAUCAUUCAUCCAUCCACCCAUCCAUCUCCGCCCUGCCGCUCAUGGCCGUGCAUCCUUGCUUAUUAGUUGGCUUCCAAAAUAGGUUGCCCCGCUCGGUCGGUGACUUGAUCAGCCGUGACCUCUCCCCUAGGACAAUGGGUGGUCGAUGCCCACAUUUUCAGCGCUAUCUCCGUCUCCGAGACGAUCAAUCUCCACAGCCUACACGUCUCUUAACUUGUACGUGAUGUGAACUGGUACAUUUUGUGAAGGCAGACAGAGGCCAUAAAAAAGGCCCUGAAUCCACAUGCCCUUGCUCAGAAACAAUCACCGCCCCCUGCACUGCACUGCACCCGCCGCCAGGCGUUCUGUGCUGUCCCGGAGGUUCGCCAACACGUAACACGUAGGAGGAGUAUGUGGCUACACGUCUGGUUUCCCUUACUGUCGCGUUCGCGCCUAAUCUUCACUGAUUUCUGCACUCGUCCUAUUCUUUUAUUGCACCGCUGCAGAAUCCAUUUGCAAGAAUCUAAUCUACGCUCAGAUUGUCCUGGCACCUGUCCACCUUCUCUUCUUUAUACAUCCGCAUACGGCAGGUGUUUGAUUUAUACGCACGCAAGUGUAUCCUGGUCACAACAGCAGCAUUGAUAAUCUGAUUGAUACAGCACUGCUGUACAUCAGUAUUAUUACUUCGUUGUGGUUCAUCUAAUAUAGCGUAUACAGACAGACAAUGGGAAGGCACAACUGCUCUCUGCACACGUGGUUACUAAUUUUUUUUUUGAGACAAGUACACGUGGUUACUAUAGUAUGCAGUAACAAACACUCGACUGGUCACUCAUCAGGCUAAGCCUCACAGGACGCACUUUUAUCGCUAGCGGCAACCUGCUGGUUUGACGAUAAAUCGGCAUUUAGCAGCAACUGCUCGGUGAAAGACAAAUACUACUGGCAGGCACGGGGUCUGACGUCCACUGGUUAAUUCUCAAGGCAACGACAUACUCAGGGCUCCUCCUCCACCUCCUCCUCCUCUUCCAAGAAAAAAAGUUAGGGUUUGUGCCUCUCGCUGGCGCCGGCGCAGGUCCGCCUCGUCUCCGGUGGCCCUAGGGCCAUGGAGGCGCGGUGGAUCCUGGCAAGGGCCGGCGGGAGGGCUCCGUUUUUAGUCGUUUUUUUUAAUCUUGUUAGGGUUUGUGUCCUACUCAGGAAGGCGAGACGGCGGCGGCUCCCUGAAGAUGGAAUAAAGGUCUCCCCGCC